UUUCUACUAUUGCCAAUUUUAAUAAUAAAAGGGUAUCAAGUUAAUGUGGUUGAAUCCAAAAACAUCUCUUUGGUGAAUAUCGAUGAUUGUUUUACUCUUAUAAUUUUUGGUUAACUUUCCUAGGCAUAGGGAAUGAUUAUUGGCAUUUUCAUGUGAAUUGGUCCGGUUAUUAACUUUAGUUCUCCAUGUUUGAAAAUGAGACUAGCUGAUGCAAGUUUUCUUUUGAUUCUUGUGUUAUAUUGAGUUUUUGUGAUUUUUAGCUAUGAAUAAACUUGACUGUACUCCGCUAUUAGUUACUACUGAGUAACCGGGGAUCUGCACCUAAAAGUGUUGAUUCUCGCGUCAAAAGGUAGUAAUUUCUAUGAGUACGUGGUCACGUGGCGAUAGAAUCUGAGUAACCGGGCUCCUUCAUAUGGCCAAUGUUGGAGUUCGCGUCAAAAAGCUCAAAUGGCUAGCGACUAAGUCUUUUGUUACUAUUGAAAAAAAAAAGAAUCAAAAAAAGAAAAGGAGAGAAAAGUAAAAAAAAAAAAAAUGUGAAAAAAUGAAUGUUGUGUUAGUGUACAAUAAAAGUCAGCUUGCCGAAUUAUGGAUUUAAUGUUGAGAUUUUGGUUAAUAGUUGGACCAUUUGUUGAUAAAUGUUAUGCGUCAUUCCUUCUUCUUAGAUUGGUUAACAUGAAAUUAGAGGAGUUUGUGGUUUAGAAGCUAACCGAAGUGAUAUUUCUUGGACUUGAACAUUGAUGCUUGAUUAUUAUUUUUCUUGGUAUCUUGGCAAUGUGUUGGAUAGAGCAGUUGCAACUAUCGAAUUUCGGUAUCUGUUUACUGUUCUUAUGCUUGAGGACAAGCAUGGUUUAGGUGUGGGGGGAAUUGAUAGGUUGCAAUUUUGUUAUUUAUUUUAUUAUUAAUUUCCCCUAUUACCUGACUUGAUGUGAAUUAAUUAUUAGAUUCUACUCAUUUUUCGUAAUUUAUAUUUAUUUCAGGGAGUAGAACAAAAAUAUCACAAUCAAGGCCAAUUUGACAAUUAUCAAGAAAGAGUUCAAGUAGCAGGCAUCUAGGGACAUUUUUGGAAUAUCAAACCACAACCCUUCUUGGUAAUUGGCCCGCAGACAGCAUUAAAAGGAGGAGGCCAAAGUCUUCUUUUUCCUCUCUCGGCUGGGCGGCGGAAGCCGCACAGUAGCCAUUAGAAUAGGAGCAAUAGCUUAGCUUUUGAUUUCUCAUCUUUUAGUUUAGUCUUGCUUUUGACUUUUCCCUUGAAUUUACUUUUUGGCUUGAGAAACGUACGAAUGGCAGGCAUUAGCAAUUCUUAGCCUUGGACUUUUCUUGUUAGUUUUCCUUUGGCUUUUCUCCACGCAAGUGAGGAGGAAGCAACUUUUUCUUUUAGCUUUGACUUUUCCUCCUUGUACCGCUGGUAUGGUUUUGCCAUACGGAUGCUGGGAAUAAUAAAUAGACUCAAUUGUAGCUUGCGACUUUCAUUUGCGUUCUUACUAUUCGACGAAUUGCAACUUCCUGAAACGCAGAUAAUGGCCGCUGUUCCCUUUUCAAUUUCCCGUGGAUUUAGUUCAUCAAAUAUGAACUAAUUACACCACUCUAGUCAAGGAGCAACGAAGGCUCUGGUUCGCCUAAAAAUUGUGAGAUCGUUUUAAUUUAAUCUUUUCUUUUCAUUUAUUGGUAUCCGCAUAUUUCUUGGUUGCUAUGCUUAUGGUUAUUUAAUUAAUUGAUUGUCUUGGAUCCAGAUAAUUAGUUGAUUGGAUAAUCUAUUGUCAAUUAGGGCAUUAAAUCCGUAAUUGUUUAAUUGCUCUAAAAUAGUGGCAACUGGCAUAAUUAGACUUGUGUCAGGGGAAUACGCGGGCUAAUCUAAAAUAACCCUGGUAGUGCGUUAUUUGAUUAGAAUAGGGCUCCUCUAAUACAUAAGGCAAUUGGGGAAUUAAAUUCUACGGGCGUACCUAGAAUUAUUUCUCAAUUAGAGCAGUGAUUAACGGGCGUACCUUAAUCAUCGACACAGUAAGGAGGGGUUGACUGUCAUCGCUUGUUUGGCAGUUAUAACCUAUUUAUUAGUAAAUAAUUGGAAUUGCCUUUGCUUAUCGAUGAUCAAUUAGAUGAACCAUUGCUGAAGUUAUUCCUUAGCUAGAUCCUUAAUUAUCACUCAUUUGAUUUUAGUAAUUUGUUAUUUAAUUUUUAGUAGUUUCUUAGAUUUUAUUCGCAUUUAUUUGAUUGUCACUUUCUGCAUAAAAACAUCCCCCUUGUCACUGUGAACUUGAAAAAAAACAAUUACUCCCAGUCUCUGUGGAUUCGACCCUGCUCACCGCUAUCUACAGAAAUUAACUUUAGUUUGAGCAGGUUUUAUUAUUGCGCAGGCUGACAACCUGUCAAUUUUUGGCGCCGUUGCCGGGGACUGGCGCUAGUUAUUUGUUUCUUUUUAAGCUCAUAUUGUUUUCAUUUUUUUAUAUAGUUCAUGGCUGCUAGCAUUCCAUAUUUUGAUGAUAGACCGGACUUUGUUCCUGAAUGGGGUUAUGAGACUCAUGUUUUUCCUAAUGAUCAAUGGGUUGUUGCAAAUUGUGGAACUUAUUUUGACUCAGGUUAUUCAACUGACACAUGCCCCGCAUUUCAAGACAAUCUAAGUGCUCCAAUUGAUACUUUCGGAGAUUUUUCACCCCAAUAUCAAAUGCAGUAUGACCCUUAUUCAAACGGGUAUGAUCAAGGAUGGUGGGAUAAUUUCAGUUUUGAUUAUGCGACCGGGCCAUUGGAUUUUCAACAGCAAGAGUCUCAACACCAUCGUCCCUGUCAGGGUACAAGCAGCAAUACCAACCCCGACCACCUCCGCCCCCUCAAUCUGGUUCAUCUACGGAGGAGAUGCUGAAACAAAUGAUGACAACCAUGGCGCAAAAUCAGCAAAGGACGGAGGCAGCUAUUAUGCAAAAUCAGCAAAAGACGGACUCUGAAAUGCAGGACAUAAGGAAUCAGAUAGGUCAAUUGGCCACCAGAAUGAACCGUUUGGAGUCCCAGAACCAAGGGAAGCUGCCAUCUCAACCGGAGUUGAAUCCGAAGAACGGGAGCGCAAUGAUCCUAAGGAGUGGGAAAGAGGUUCAAGGGCCUGAGCCUGUGAUCCCUAAGGACAAGGAUGAGGAGAUGCAAGAAUGUCAAAAUGAGAAAUCUACAGAUGCAGUUGAAAAAGAAGCCGAAAAUGAAGAAAUGGAACCCCAACCGCAACCCAUUGAAGUGAAAGAAUCCAGUGAAGAAUCAUCAAAUGUGGUGACACCACCUCCAUUCCCUAACCCGCAUUUUCUUAACUCUUAUUCCAUGAUUUCUGUUAAUGAGAUUGAUUUUGUUAUACCGGAAGUUUUUGAGUCUCAUGGUAGAAAUAAGUUAAGAGUAGCUAUGGUCAAAUAUCUUGAACCGUUGAGUGCUCUUGAUGGAGGGGUGGAGGAAAAAUUGAGAUCACUGCUUGAUUAUUUGGCACCAUCAACUAAUCCAUGGAAGACCGUAGCUCGUGUGCUCAAGGAUUAUUCUAUUUACGAGGGUUAUCAGGACUAUAUAGAGGAUGAAGCAUUAAGACGAGCUACAAGAUUUUAUCCGUCAUGAGCAAAACGUGAUAAUGUCUAGCCAAAGACAUUAAAGAAAGGCGCUCAUUGGGAGGCAACCCAAUUUCUUUUAGUUGUUUGUUUGAUUUUAUUUGUUAGUUUAAAUCUGUCUUCCCUGAAUUUGACUGAUUUUGGGUGUUAAUUUUCGUUUUUGCUGAUUUGUAGGUGACCUUCAGUCAUGACGCGCCCGCGUGGUGAUGUGCAGGACGCUCACGAUCAGGAAUUUCUGCAACUUCUGGGAGCUCUCUUGGCCUCAUGACGCGCCCGCGUGGUGAUGUGCAGGACGCUCACGAUCAGGAAUUUCUGAAACUUCUGGGAGCUCUCUUGACCUCUUGACGCGCCCGCGUCACGUUCGCGGGAAAGGUAAGGAUUCUAAAAAAAAAAAAAAAAAAAAAAUUCUUAUUACUGUAGCUUUAAUUUCCAAAAUCAAAAAAAAAAAUUUUUAAAAAAAUUGAUUUCCGCAAAGGAAAAAAAAACCAAAAAAAAAAAAACAAGAAGAAAAAAUUUUUCAACCGUAGCUAGGUUUCUCAAUUAAAAAAAAAAAAACUCUUUCUUUUCUUUUCUUUCUUUUUUUUUUUUUCUUUUUCUUUUUUUUUUCUUUCUUUCUUCUUCCUCCUUCUUCUUUUCUUCCUCCUCUGUUCCCUCUCUGUUGCCCGAAUUCCCUUGCCCGCCGCCCACUCACGCCGCAUCCCACAUCACGCACGCCACCACCACCAGCUCCGCUACUCCUCCCUUCGAUCCGCCAGCCGUGUCCAGCAGCCGAGCGUCCAGCGCCGCCCACCUCCUUAACGCCGCCACCUCGCGUCUCGCGCAAUGGACCAGCCGGCCAUCCACUUCGCACCUCGCCGACCCUCGAUGCUUCCACUCCAGCUACGACCGCCGCAUCUACCUCCUUUUCCCCCUGGCGUCCUCCACAGCUCCUCGGUCCGCCUCCAACCUCGCCGCUCCACCCAGCUCAUCCGCCUCCAGCAGCACCAAAGGCAGCACCCACCUCGCGCCUCUUCCCAGCAGACGCCGCUGCUCGCUCUCGCCACUCGCUGCUGCGCCGCCCCGCUGCCCCACGCCCCUGCAGCUCGUCGACGAAGUCCACCAGCCCACCACCAGCGCGUGAGCUCUCAUCUCCGCCAGCUCCACCCUAGCUCGUUACCACCUGUCAAUUGUUGGCAGGUGGAGGUAUUGCGAUUCCUGCCUCAAUUUGUCUUAUUCUGAACCCUAAAUUGCGAAAAUUUUGCACCUUUGCUUGGGCUUCUUGUUGGAAAACAGCGGGCAGUAAUUUUGGGCAUUUUCUGGUCUAAUUUUGGGUAGAGUUGAGUUAAACUGCUGCGAUAUUUGGGGUACUUUGGGAGUUAGUUGACCAUUGCUUCUGGCUUUAAUUUCCGUUCAUUUUUGGCGCUGUUUGGGUGUUCGAAUCUAUUUUGUGCACUGGAUUGGUUAUUUGCUUUAAUUUCUCCCUAUGCACUCACCAGUGGUACUGGUGAUGGUAGUUGUUUAAUAUCUGAUAAUCCUGUGUUCUGGAUUGCCUAAUUAAGCGAGUUGUGCCUAUUGGGCGUUUUUGGUUGAGUCGUUCCAGUCCACCCUGAGUUUGAGUUUCUUUAUAGCUAAUAGCAGGGGUGAUUUAGGCAUAUUCUGGGGGUGUUUUUUGGACAGAAUUGGGUUUAAUUGCUGCCAUAGUGGGGGUAUUUUCUGUUAUUUAUUGAAUUAUUGGCCGCUUGAUUAUUUUUCCCUGUGACUCACCAGUGGUACUGGUUGAUUAAUUUUCCAGUUUAAGUUCUUGCGGUUGAGUUGCUGCCGUUGAAUUUAAUUCUUUCCUGUCUGUGCACCAGUGGUACUGGUUGCAGUGUUGCUUUCCAUUUCUUAAUCCUCUGUACUGGCCUGCCUAUUUGAUUCUUGGGUUUUGGUGCCUGAACUGUUCUCGAAUUCUAACCAUUGGUUGUUGCCAUUGCCUGUUGCUUGGCCCAAUUGCUAAGUUUUGAUCGUUCGAGUUGUGCAAUUUCUUGUCCAAUUGGAGCCAUUUGGACAGAUUUUGGGUGGGCAAGUUUUGCCGCUCUCUGUUGAUCUUUGGGAGGCAUUUCUAACCGUAUUCUACGUAUUCAAAUUGGUUGAAUUCACUGCUUUGUUAAGGUUAUUUUUGGUAUCACUUGGGUUCUACUUGGCUGAUUUCUGUCUUGCGUCCCUUGAAGUGCCUUUGGUUGGGUAUUUUCUGCAUUUGUUUGUUGAAUUGGAAGGCUACUGUGCCACUUCCAUUGCUUAUUGCUGUUGGUGGCGUCUAAUUGACUUGCUGGGAGUAUUUUACCUAUUGAUUUCAAUUGCUAAAUCUUUAGAGCAUUUGUUGCGAUUUUGGACUGCCUGCAUUUGACCCAAUUGGGGCCACCCGUGAGUAUUGAUUGAAAUUGCUGUAUUGUUGGGAUAUUUGUCUUGUCUCCGGGUGCCUGGGUUGUGCAUUCUGUUGAUUGGGUUGUCUACUAGGGAGGCACCGGUGGCUAUUAAAUUAUUAUUGCUUUGAAUUUGCUGUUUACAUUACCUGUGGGCAAUUUUUGUCUCUUGUUGAUUGAAAUGACAUUUGGAGAAAAUGGUAAGACCCGAGCCCUCUUCUUCUGCGCCUCCCCCAUCGAUGGCCUCUGAUGUAAGUCGCACCACUUGCGGGCUCAGAUUCACAACGUAGAUGAGCGAGUGACGAACAUCACCCGCCAAGUGGUAAGGAUAUCUCAGAACUCGGCUUCCCUCCACUGUUCCCUCCUAUCCCUUAGCUGUUCAACAGGGAAGUUUCAUUGUUCUCUUCGCUUUCAUUACUUUAUUACCUCCAUUGAGGGCAAUGCAGGAUUUAGGUGUGGGGGGAGCAGUUAUGGUGCUAGUGUCUUUCAUUCAUUUUUUUUUUCUUUUUAGUGAUUGGCUCGUAAGUGCAUGCCAAGGUUUGAUGUUGGAUUAUUGCCUCUAUUUCUACUAUUGCCAAUUUUAAUAAUAAAAGGGUAUCAAGUUAAUGUGGUUGAAUCCAAAAACAUCUCUUUGGUGAAUAUCGAUGAUUGUUUUACUCUUAUAAUUUUUGGUUAACUUUCCUAGGCAUAGGGAAUGAUUAUUGGCAUUUUCAUGUGAAUUGGUCCGGUUAUUAACUUUAGUUCUCCAUGUUUGAAAAUGAGACUAGCUGAUGCAAGUUUUCUUUUGAUUCUUGUGUUAUAUUGAGUUUUUGUGAUUUUUAGCUAUGAAUAAACUUGACUGUACUCCGCUAUUAGUUACUACUGAGUAACCGGGGAUCUGCACCUAAAAGUGUUGAUUCUCGCGUCAAAAGGUAGUAAUUUCUAUGAGUACGUGGUCACGUGGCGAUAGAAUCUGAGUAACCGGGCUCCUUCAUAUGGCCAAUGUUGGAGUUCGCGUCAAAAAGCUCAAAUGGC
rnacentral:lncRNA from 1 species